AAAGCCAGUGGCGCGAAGCUA
rnacentral:snRNA from 1 species